CACAGGCCUGUGACAGCAAGGGGCGGGGCACUCCUCAGGACCCAGGCGGCAGAGGAGGGGCGGGUCGUUUUUCUCCCCACAGGGAGAGGGAACGCGGGGCUGCUGGUGGCCGGGGGCAGUGCUGGCUGUGGGACCACUCGGUCCUGCUUGGCCCCUGCUGGUCUGGAACAGGUGCUCAGCCCCCUGCCGGCAGUGUCCUCCUCAAUAAGGAGAAUAAUCCUUCCUAAACCACAUGGGCGUGCCCUGGAACUCAGCCCCGACCUUGGCCCUGACCUUGGCCCCUCUGGCUUAUCCAUCCACCAGCUAUCCAUCACAGCUUCCUCAGGCCUGUCAAGCCUGUCAGGCCCAGGUCAGCCUCUCCCUGCCUCCGGUCAUAAGCCCUCAUGUAACCACUGGCCUUUGCGUGUCUCUGAACAGUUAUUUGAUGCUAUCUGUGUCCCCCGCUGGACUAUGAGUCCCAGGAAGACAGGGACAGCACCUUUAUUUCUUCCAUCUCUCAUGAUUUCAUUCUCAGGGCCUAGCUCAGUGUCUGGUCCAUAAUAGGUACUCAGUAAAUAUUCAAAGAAAGGAAAGAAAGAAAGAAAGAAAGAAAGAAAGAAAGAGGCAGAGAGGAAAGGAAGGAGGGAAGGAAGGAAGGAAGGAAGGAAGGAAGGAAGGAAGGAAGGAAACUUCCAGAAGCUAACGAUUAUUUCACUCCUUCAUCUCUUCUAUUUCCUCCCAUUUCCAAAAAGAUGACCUCUCCCCUACUAGCAUUUUGCUUGCUUCUUUGGGAAUUUUAUUUGUAUCUUGUUCAAAACAUUCUUUGCAACGGCCUCCUUUGUGCAUUUGGAGGACAAGCUGGCCUAUACAAGUAAAUGUGGGGGCUCCGGUCGAGCCUUGCCACUGUUUGGUCCCCCUGCGAGCAGCCCAGGACCCGGGGUCCUUCCACGCCUUUAUCUCCAAGUGGGCACCAUGUAGGGAAAGUCUACGACACAUGGCAGGCUCGUUCACUUCCACGGAUGGAAACCGAGGGUCUCUUUUAGACGGGGCUCCUUGGUGGCCAAAAGAAAAUUAGGGAAGGAAGCCCUCUGUCCCUGCGCCUUGCAGGGCUGCAUUUAACGUUACACCGAGACCACGUCUACCAAGAGGAUUCGGGCAGACAGUGCCGGCCCCCAGACGGAUGGGUAACUGACCCCGUGGGAGCUGUUUCAGUGCAGCGUGCUAGCACUUACCGGGAACCUUUGGGGCCAGUUUGCACAUCAAGCAGCUCUGAGACCAGAGUCCCUCAGAGGGGGGCUCUUUCCAGUGAGCAUGUCUCUGGGGUCUUCCCCUCCUUGUUCCUCACCCUUUACCCUCACCCCUAGAAGCUUUAGCUGCUGAAAGACUUCCAUCCUUGAAGGACUAAUACGUGUGAAGCCUGCACAGUCUUAAACUUCUGAAUGUCCGAGAGAUUUCAGGGCUACCAUGAAUGACAACUUCUUUGCUACUUCACUCAUGCAUUCAUUCAUUCACUGAGCUCCCUUCCCUCCACCCUUGCGUCAGUGAGGACCAGGACAGCCGUGAGUGAGAAGGUGAGACCGGAGGCAGGCCUUGUUCCCAGGGCGCUCACCCACGUCAGGGGGCAGGAUGGGCCCCGAGGGUCCACGGGGCCGGCCCCUUGACCCUCCCAGCUGCUUCCUCCGUCGUGAGCGGCACUUCCUCCUGACUUUCAGCCCCUCGUGUUAUUAAUAGCUUCAGAGCACAGAUGCCGGUUAAGUUACAGACCCACGAGCGAACUGGGCAACUGACCAGAUAAGCCCCGAAGUCCCCAUCAACGCCAUCACUACCACCUUGGUGAGUUCUUACGAGCGGCCAGAGCAGCCCCUGCUGGCGUCAGGAAGAGCCCGGCUGGGCUCCAUGCCCAACCAGGGGCUCGAACUCACGACCCUGAGAGCCGCACACUCCACUGACUGAGCCAGCCAGGCGCCCCUGGAGACAAUGAGAUUUGAGGCCCGUGUCCUGAGGCCACAGAACAUAACUGUUCCACCCACCACCACCACCCCCAAAUACGGACUUGACCUGGAUUCGGUGAGGAACAGAGCAUUUUUAAACACAGCUUUCCUCCCUAAGAGCAUCUUAAGAUCCAAUGCUUGAUUACCUCUCUGGUUCCCCCCUCCUGCAAAGAAGGUACCCUCUGGAUCUGUGCUGUCCACAUGUGGCUGGUGAGCCGUGGCGAUGCGGCUAGCCUGAACUGAGAUGGUCUGUGAGGGCGAAGCGCACACUGGAUUCCAAAGACUUGGUAGGACAAAGAGAACGUAAAAGUCUCCUUCAUAAUUUUCCUAUUGAGGACACGUGGCAAUGAUAAUAUUUUCCACCUAAAUUAAUUUCACCUCUUUGUCUUUCUGUGUGUAGUGUGGCUGUGAGGAGAUUCAGAAUUGCCUGUGUGGAACUUCGGGGGUGGCUCGCAUCAUAUUUCUACGGUGCUGCCCCAGGAGGUCCUGCCAUUGAGGUCCUGCUGAGACAGGGGAGCCAGAGCCAAGGAGGAAUGGGUGACUUUGCUGGGCAAAUGUCCCUUGCUUCUCAGACGUGUUUUCCCAGGAAGACUGCAUCGGUAAGGUGGGGAGCUCUGCUCAGGACUCAGAACAUCAACCCCACCGCAUUCAAAUAUAAAGCCAGUGGUACAAAGCCGAGCCAUGAUCUUUGGAACCGGAUCGUUCCAGUCUCCGCAACACCAUCCACUAGCUGUGCAACCUGGGACUAGUUACCAGCCCUGAGCUUCCGUGUCCUCCUUUAUAAAAUGGGAAUAUAGCAGAGAGCCUCCUGGAAGGUCUGUAAGAGGGUUAAAUGAGGUGAAACGAGUAUAGCGCCUACUAGAGUGCCUGGCCUGUCAAACCUCGGUAAGUUUCGAUAACAAACGUGAGUCUUUAAGCUGUAAAAAGGUACCCUACAGACCGAGGCUUUGGUCUUGGGUUAGCAGCGUUUGGGAUCUGCACCUCACGGGUAUCCUAGUUGGCUUCUCCUCGCUCACCUGGUCCAUGGGUAGAAAUGGGCAGGUUGGCGAUUGGCUCGUGUGGACACAGUGGCCUCAGCCGUGGUUGGGCCCCGAGUCUUGUCAGCCAGGCUCUGCUCAAUGGCCAUCUGGACCAGCUCGUCCUCGCUCAGGCUGCUAUACAGGCUGUAUUCCUCAUUCCCAAUGGUACGCUGUCCGCCCCGAGCGCUGAUCUCCAUGGUCAUUGUCUUCUGCCUCUCACCCCGGCCUCCAGAAGAGGCACUCCGAGGGGAGGAGAACGCAGUAAGUCAGAAAGCCCUGUGACGAGACCGAAACCAUCCUGGUCACUAACAGUUUGGCAAGAGAGUUAUGUUUACCAGCAGAGAAGGCUGUGCUUUCCUCUGGCAAGCUCACGAUCAUUGUUUAUCUAUUCAUUUUGUCACGUGAUCCACUCAAACAUCCAUUCAGCUCCCCAUCUCUCCAUCCACUCGUCUGCUCAUCAACACACCCACCUAUCUAGUCAUCCAUCCGAUCGUUCGCCCAUCUGCCCGUUGAUUCAUUCUCCCGUGCAGCCAUCUGUCCACCCACCUACUCAUUUACCCAUCUACAUCUGUCCAUUUAUCCAACCGCCUAAUCAUCCAUCCAACCGAUCGUGACCCGUCCCCUGAUCUAUCUGUCCACCUACCCGUCCAUGUAUCCACCCACCUUCCCAUUCACCCGCUCUUACAUCUCUCUAUGCAACCAACCAUCCGUUUGCCCACCAUUCAUUUUUCCGUCCCAGACAGCUUGUCUACACGUGCAUGCAUGCUUCACUAACUGACAGAGUAUUUAUUGAGCACCUACUCCGUGUCAGGUGCGCCUCUAAGCGCUGGCGAUAUAACAAUGAUGCCAACGGACAAAAAUCCCUGCCGUCACCGAGAGUACACAACAAUGUCUAUGUUCCUUCCUUCCAACAACCUCCCAUUCCAGCACGUCACCUGGUCUCUGUGCUGGGCCGGGGCUGAGAAUGUUAGAGAUCAAUCAGACAUGGGCCUGCCCCUUGGGUCCGCAGGAUCUAGUUAAAAUCAAUCAUUAAAACGAUUUGCCGUGUGAAUUCCAAGGACUCUCUUCUUGAAAGAAGUUGCCUCGGGGAGAAGUGGACUUUGGUUGAAUCAACUCAUUUUCGGAAAUAAAGUCAAAUCAACGAA